UAUAAGAGGACCUGUCUCAUAAGGACUCAUAACCAUUCAACCAUAACAGCAUACGCGAGCCGACAAGGCCGCCACUAUUCAAAGCAUAAUAACAUACGUAAGCCGACAAGGCUACCACUACACAAUACACAAUGAUGUACGCAGCCGACAAGGCUGCCCCUGUACAAGCGGACAUCCCAAACAAACCAUGUCCAGACCAUUAUCCAAAACAUAUAUAUACAACCCACAUAAUGUCCACAGACCUCUAAGAGUACAUUAGUGAAACUCGACGGGACAGGGCCCCGCCAUACCCAUAGACGAGCAAAAGACUACACAAAAGUUAUGUACCAAAACGACUGGGCUCCGGAACAGUGGAGCUCUCCCAAUCAGCAGAGUAGAUAUCCUAGCGGGAGGAUCACCAAACUGUGCGUCUACACCUGCGGGCAUGAAACGCAGCCCCCCGAGGAAAGGGGGUCAGUACGGACAAUGUACUGAGUAUGUAAAGCAUAAGGUAAAGAUGACAAGAUACCAAUAUGGCUAGUCGAAACAAAAUAUCGCUACACAUGCACCCUUUUAAGUGAAAAUCAUGCAUAUCUUUGACAUAUAAGGUGCCCAGCUUCCCUAGUAAGGGGCUCGACAAAAUAAUCAUCACGUCAUCUCCGUCAUCAUCAUCAUCAUAACCAUCCUCAUCACCAAUCAUAUAUAUAAUAUACAUACCCGGCCCUCUAGUGAGGAACUCGGUGACAUAUGCAAGAAACUCCGCACGAACAUUACCCGACGCGGGACUCGGUGAAAUGAUAAAUGACUCUAUGCACGAGCAGAAUAUUAUGAGCAACCAUAUGCAAUUAAAAUCAUUUCUUAUAACUCAAUAGAACAAUCAAUGUGAACCAGCAAGGAGUAUUACCAAAGAUUAAUAUUUUAUCAAGAUUAUGAACCUUUAAUACGAUAUGGAAACGUAAAAUCUCAAUGACUCUAAGAAGCACUACCAUAGAUAUUAGAGAUCAUCAUAGCCUUUGACAUAGCCGAUAUAUAGAGGAAUAAUUGUGGGAUCAAGAACAUACGUCACCUAGACGUUCUAGAGGUAAGUAUCAAAUCAGUCCGUUAUUCGCUUAUUUUUAAAAGUCAUGCCAAACAAAGAAAGAAGGGACAGCGUUACAUACCGUAUAAUCGAGCCGCA
rnacentral:lncRNA from 1 species